rnacentral:rRNA from 1 species
GACGAACGUUGGCGGCGUGCUUAACACAUGCAAGUCGAACGGAAAGGCCCUGCUUUUGUGGGGUGCUCGAGUGGCGAACGGGUGAGUAACACGUGAGUAACCUGCCCUUGACUUUGGGAUAACUUCAGGAAACUGGGGCUAAUACCGGAUAGGAGCUCCUGCUGCAUGGUGGGGGUUGGAAAGUUUCGGCGGUUGGGGAUGGACUCGCGGCUUAUCAGCUUGUUGGUGGGGUAGUGGCUUACCAAGGCUUUGACGGGUAGCCGGCCUGAGAGGGUGACCGGCCACAUUGGGACUGAGAUACGGCCCAGACUCCUACGGGAGGCAGCAGUGGGGAAUAUUGCACAAUGGGCGGAAGCCUGAUGCAGCAACGCCGCGUGCGGGAUGACGGCCUUCGGGUUGUAAACCGCUUUCGCCUGUGACGAAGCGUGAGUGACGGUAAUGGGUAAAGAAGCACCGGCUAACUACGUGCCAGCAGCCGCGGUGAUACGUAGGGUGCGAGCGUUGUCCGGAUUUAUUGGGCGUAAAGGGCUCGUAGGUGGUUGAUCGCGUCGGAAGUGUAAUCUUGGGGCUUAACCCUGAGCGUGCUUUCGAUACGGGUUGACUUGAGGAAGGUAGGGGAGAAUGGAAUUCCUGGUGGAGCGGUGGAAUGCGCAGAUAUCAGGAGGAACACCAGUGGCGAAGGCGGUUCUCUGGGCCUUUCCUGACGCUGAGGAGCGAAAGCGUGGGGAGCGAACAGGCUUAGAUACCCUGGUAGUCCACGCUGUAAACGGUGGGUACUAGGUGUGGGGUCCAUUCCACGGGUUCCGUGCCGUAGCUAACGCUUUAAGUACCCCGCCUGGGGAGUACGGCCGCAAGGCUAAAACUCAAAGGAACUGACGGGGCCCCGCACAAGCGGCGGAGCAUGCGGAUUAAUUCGAUGCAACGCGUAGAACCUUACCUGGGUUUGACAUGGAUCGGGAGUGCUCAGAGAUGGGUGUGCCUCUUUUGGGGUCGGUUCACAGGUGGUGCAUGCCUGUCGUCAGCUCGUGUCGUGAGAUGUUGGGUUAAGUCCCGCAACGAGCGCAACCCUUGUUCACUGUUGCCGGCACGUUAUGGUGGGGACUCAGUGGAGACCGCCGGGGUCAACUCGGAGGAAGGUGGGGAUGACGUCAAGUCCUCAUGCCCCUUAUGUCCAGGGCUUCACGCAUGCUACAAUGGCUGGUACAGAGAGUGGCGAGCCUGUGAGGGUGAGCGAAUCUCGGAAAGCCGGUCUCAGUUCGGAUUGGGGGCUGCAACUCGACCUCAUGAAGUCGGAGUCGCUAGUAAUCGCAAAUCAGCAACGCUGCGGUGAAUACGUUCCCGGG